GACGUAGGGAGCGAGCGUUGUCCGGAUUCAUUGGGCGUAAAGGGUCCGUAGGCGGCUCAGCAAGUCGGGUGUGAAAUCUCCAGGCUCAACCUGGAGGGGCCACCCGAUACUGCUGUGGCUUGAGUCCAGUAGGGGAGCAUGGAAUUCCCGGUGUAGCGGUGAAAUGCGCAGAUAUCGGGAGGAACACCAGUGGCGAAGGCGGUGCCUCUGGGCUGGAACUGACGCUGAUGGACGAAAGCGUGGGUAGCAAACAGG
rnacentral:rRNA from 1 species